rnacentral:rRNA from 1 species
UGGGGUUCGCAAGGGGCCCUAUUGUAUUCCUGAGUCUGGCCAAACCUUGUAAGCGUACACUGCAACCAGUUAGACGAUCAGCAGUGGGCACAGUGGUUGGAGUCAGCCAGCAAUGGUCGGCUCCUUCUACGAAGCAAUUGUUUGUGUGGGUUAGUAGUAGUGCGGUUGUGCUUCGGUGCUUCUCGUGUUGCUGGGCCCAUGCAAGUGAACUACAGCUGAAUACUGACUGGCGAAAUGAAAAUCACCUUUUAGGUGUUAGAGACAAAGCAGCUAGCCAGACGUGGGCCUACACGGUCGACUGUUAGGUCUAAGCUUGGCGCUCUUGAAUUCAGACUUGCUUGCUACCAGUGGGGCAACUCCUGGUGCUUGUAUAGCUUCUGUCUAAUCGGGCGUCGACUUGGCUUGGCAUUGUUCGGUCGUGCUACGAUAGGGUUUGCGUCUGAGUUAGUUUGCAAUGUGAAU